rnacentral:lncRNA from 1 species
GUUUGUAGUUACAUAACGACAUAACUAUUAGCCGGAGGGGUUAGGAAGUCACUGGUCUUCUGCUUCACCAAAGUACCUCUCCACCUGCUGGCUCUGGCUUUCCUAAUCUCAAGGCUCUGAGCUGGCGUGUGUUUUUAUGGAGCUGUCGUGUUCCACCCCAGCACUGGCUGCAUUUUCUUUGACAGCGAUGUGUUUUUCCCACUUUGGAACCCCUGGGAAGCAACACGCGUGAGAAGUGGCAGCCAAGAAGCCAAAUAUUGUCCAGCAGAGGACGACAAAAAUGAAAAGCAACAGAGGCUGUUUCCAUGCACAGUUGCCCCACCUACGUGUCAAGUCCCAGGACCAUGUGUGCCGUUGUAACGAGGCUGCUGGUAAUGAGCCCUCAGCUAUUGGAAUAAGCCUAGUCCAUGGUCUGACUCCAAUCCGGAGGCCAACAAGGAGUGGAAAUGGAUGGAUGCUCACCAGGCUGCCCCUCCUUUGUGGAGAACCCCCUGUUUAUUUGGAUCCCUGGACUUCUCGAUCCCCAAAGUAUUGGAGAACAGAUUGGGGAUGGGAAUGUCCUGAGACAAGACCCCGGGAGAUCUUCUAAAGGUAUACUGGAUCAGACAGACUUACCCAUCUGAACUGAAUGGAAUUAAUGGGUAAGUCCAGCACCUCUCCUUCCAGAUGAACAAAUAGCCUGGUCAGCAAAGAAAGAUGAGAAAGACCACCCUUCAGCUGGCAAAGUCUAAUACCAAGUGGCUCCAUGACCUGCCCACAGUCUCACGACACAUUAGCAGUACAGGAGGAGAUAGAGGCUGCUAGUUCUCUGGAUGGGGGCACCAGCAACCCCACUGAAGCUACUCUCCCCUGCAUUGCUUCUUGCAACAAAAGUAGCUGGCACAGGAGAAAGAGGGGUCAUCCUAGACCAGCUUACAGCCCCUUGGUCCUCUGCACACACAUUGGCACGUUGGCAUGCUCAUAUCCUGGCCCUAGGCACAUACACAGACCUGGUGAAGAUACAAGAUUGAUAAUGCUUUAUAUUAGUUAAAAGAAUAUCAAUGAUAAGCAUUUGAUCCUAGGUGCUCUUCUCUGGCCAGUGAAACGGUGAUGUCUGGGUUGCAGGAACAAUACUUUAUUAGAAAGCAGGGCAGAUGUUGGAAGACAAGCUGCCAGUGACUUGGCUUAUUCAGGAGUGUCAAAUUGCAGAAAAACACAUCUGUUGUGUAAGCUGCAUACUAAUAAAGCGCCUUUUAUAGCUGGCUGGUAAUUGUAA